GUUUGGGGGGCCUCACUUGGCCCUUGCAUAUAUUUCUUUGUUCCUUUAGUUAUCUUUCUUUGGAUAAGCUUCCCAUUUCCUCAGACAAGCCUAUGAAUAAGGUUCCCUGUAAGUUGUACACAGGAAAUAUAAAUAUAAGCUGCACAGAGCACAUCUGCCUCUGUGUCAUCCAUCAUGCCCAUGACCCAACUGUUGACUCAUAAGCCUUGGUCAUCUUCCGACAACCAUAAAACAUCAGAGCACUCAAAGAUUCAUAGUGCCUUCAGGGGAGAGGUCAUGUCUAAUAGGAUACUGCUUAAAACCUAGUAGGUACUCAAUAAAUGUUUAUGAUGAGAAAGUUUAAAAAGCAGAAAUCUCUUCUUGUUCAGAAAACAUAAAGGACAAAACAGGCCCACUGCUGGGUGGUGAACUGUCUGGCUUGAUAAAAGCAAACAAGCCUUCUUGUGUAUCAUUGUUGCUUAGGCAUCCAGGGCCGGGUAUAUUUCACCAAGGCAAGAAGAGACCCACUGGAAGCAGCAGGAACUAGGAAGUCCCGAGCUCUGGCUGUACACUAGCCAUGAUUUACAAGGUGAACUUGGACAAAUCUCUCAACAGAUAUUGAUUCUUCAAGGACUUCCAUGAGACCAAAUGAGAACUAUGUCUUAAAACACUGAAAAAAAAGCACCCCCCAGCCCCGCCGCCGUACAUAGCUGUGCACCUUUAGCUGUGGGUCCCUCCAGCUGCGGCACAAGGGACGCCGCCUCAGCAUGGCUCGACAAGCGGCGCCACAUCCGCACCCAGGACUCCAACCGGCAAAACCC